GCGGGUAAGACUUUGUCGGGUUUGAUUUGAAGUCAUUCUUUUCAUAUUAAGGUUAUGAUACUCGCU
rnacentral:tRNA from 1 species